GCCGGCUGUAUUAUAUCCUGCCUGUUCAUUUCCACAAAAAUGCAUUGAAAAAAUUUUGCCGUCAGGGCGUGAGGGCAGCACUGGAGGGGCGCUUUUGACCUUGACAAUUGUCAAACAAACUUCAAAUUUGAAGUUUUAUAAAUAGGUUAAAUCGGGUUAGGUUAAAUGUUUUGAACAAUUUAUUAAACGGUUAAACGUUGAAUCAUACAUCGUAUCCUCUCUAUGGUUGAAAAUUACAACAAAAAGGACUAGCAAAGGUGAAAUUUUGCAAAAGGCACUUCUCGAUUUCCCAUUAAUUGUUUCCCCAAAGCAAUUCUACAUCACCCCCUGUUCACGUUCCGCACCUUCAAAAGUUGUACAACUGUUUUCUUCUGUUCCCGACAUUACUCCUCGCGUGUUGGUGACUAUAAAAAGUUAGGUUAUAUUGGAAACAGCUUUUCCCGUUAAAGAGUGUAUGAAUUGGGAAAUUUAACAUUUUUUUUUGUAGCAAAAGGAAACAUUUGAAGGUGAGGAACGUGAUUAGGGGGUGGUGUAGAAGAAUUGUAACCAAACAGUUUGUGCGAAAUCGAGAAGUGCCUUUUGUAAAAUUUCACCCUAAUUAGCGCUGGAAGAAUAUAAAAAAACAGACAGUUCUUGUAUAACCAAAAUUUGCAAAAAUUGGUUUCAACACUUUAGACAAUAUUAAGUUCGCAACCAUUACUUUGUGGUUUUUAUCUUCACAAGGCAAAAAAGCUGAACUGGCAAUUGGCUCUAAUAACAAAGACUCCACCACAGUUCUUGGAUGAUGAUUUACUGAUAUAUCAAGUCAAGCAACGGGGUAGAUUUUGCGGUGGUUAGUAAUGAAUCUAAACAAUUUUUGCACUCUAACCUUUCUUCAAUUGUUCUACAAAUAUAUCCAGAUAAAAACGCAACUGAUGCAGAGUUGAUAUCUGUGAAAAUGGUAUUAACGAAUGUUAAUUUAUGAAGAUCUUUCAGAAGACUGAAUUUGACCAAUUUUACUCAAGUGAUUACAGUCAGAAUAUACAUUUGCUGAUUCUGAAGUUGUUACUAAACCUGACUUAAUUAUUCGUUUAAUAGCAUAGUGUGCAGCCCUGGCAUCAGUAGCGUCCUGAGAACCACCGCAUAAUCGGACAUUGCUAAACAUCGAUUCAACUGCAUCUGAGCUAAAUGCUCGCGUUAAGACAUAGAAAAAGCCACUCUCUUCCAGUAAAUACUUGAUACAUUCUGCAGUGCUUUUGGCAGUGAAUUUUACUGCUUCUGCAGUCUCUUUAGUCAAUCCCGUCAUUUUAUUUGCCUUUGAAGAUAGUUGAAUGGAAUCUAUAUAAGCAGGUAAAGUUUUUAACAUCCAGAGAAGGCGUUCAUCAUUAAUAUCUGUAUAUGGAGCACUAUUUUCAUUUAGUUGCCGGAUGUGCUGAGUUUUGUCAUUGACAUCAUGAAUUUUAAAAAAUGUGUGCAUCAUUUCCAUAAACUUUAGAGUCUCUUCAACAUCAACAAAACCUGGAUUGUUAUAUUUUCCCAAAUACUCUAUUGCUGCUCUUACUUCUAUGGAAAAUACUUGCACAGCACGACGGACGUUCAUCUUUUCUAAAUUGGUUGGGCAAAUAUGCUUCCUGGUCAAAAACUUUACCGGUUUAACAAUUAAUUUGUGUUGCAUAUCAUAUAUUUUCUUUAAAAAGUCGUGCAGAAAUAAUACCGUUACCAGAAUGCAUGUCAUGGUACAAAAAUAUGUUCUUCAAAUUUUUAAUAAUAUGACAGUAAUCAAAGCUCAUAAAUAAUGGUAUUGUUGGUUCUAUUGGAUGUUGAAUAUGAGUCAUUAAAUUAUUACUUGAUGACAGAGAUUUGAAAAGGGCCACAUUUGACUUAUGGUUAUCUGUCACAAUUCUUAAAACUGUAAAUCCACAAUUAUGUAAAAGUUUCAUUACUUUUAACGUCAAAUUCACAAAAUCUAUGUUUUUUAGAGUUCGAUGGAAGAAAUAUCCGGCGGGUAUCGUGUACUUAGUAGUCAUGCCGUGAACAACGUAACAUAACAUUUUGCUGGCCAACGUUGGUUUUUUUCCAAUUGUUUGACUACUCUCAUUGGUAGUCUCUAACCCAUAGAAUUUGUCUUCUGUGCGGCUGUAACACAGUUUUUCCUUGAUGGAGAUGUCGUCAACAAUUAAACUACAAAUCCUUUCAACGGGUUGUAGCACUUCGGCUUCUGCUUUCAAGCGUGCCUCUAUAAGUCCUGUAACAUCUUGUCCAUUUCCUAUAUACCGUUUUGAAGUACUUCGACUAGGUAAUUUCAAUAUAGAAGCUUUACCAUAGUUGUAUCCCUUUGGGGAUGAAAUCCUCCAAGCAAUACAUGAUCUUACAGUUACUUCUGACCAUCUAGAUUUUUGUUUGUUGUAAUUUAAUAUUUGGUCUAAUAGAAAUGUGGCUUUUGGGUCGUUAUUCUUGGCAUCAGCUUCAAUUUUUUCGAAUAUACGGGCUUGAUUCGUUUGAUUGUCAAUUUUUAAUUGCAGUUUUUGUAGCUGUUGAUUUUUCAGUUUGUUCUGUUUGUCCAAACGGUUUACUUUCAUUUUCAGUUUUUUUAUUUCAAGUUUAAGUUUUGAUAUAUCAUCAAGACGAAGAUCAGUAUUGGAACUUAAUGUUUGGGAUUCAUUAUAUAAGGACUCAGGUUCAGAAGGAAUUGUUGAGUGACUUAAAUCAGGACUCGACAAUUUAAAAAAAUAUAAUUAAAAUUUAUUAACUGCCAAUAAAAUAUUACUGGAGGUUCUUCUAUCGAUGUUGGACACGUGGAUGUUGAUUGGAAGGGAGGAGAUAAUCUUGGAGUAACAGUACUCUAAAAUAAAUAAUUAUUAGAGGAAAGUUCUAAAAAAAGUGUGAAAAUAGGUAGGAACAGAAAAAUAAUUUUACUCCUGACUUUAAAUUACGUUAUUAAUGUACUGUUCGCUUAUAUUUUCACAGUUGUAAGGAUUGUAAUUACAGGAAUAAUGGAUGAUGAGGGCUUGAUAUUUAAAGGAGUAGAAGACUGGGCAAGGGCAACGAAGGAUUCGUGUGUGGAUGCGUAAUAAGCAUCAUCACCCUAUAAAAACUAUAAUUUUAUUUCUGUUCAGUUUAAAAUGUAAAUAAAUAUACAUGAAAAACUGUUGGAACUGCAUUUUUUUGCAAGCGUUUACUACCAUUUGCUGCAAACUUAAAAUCUGUGGGUUUAAAGUGCAAAUUGCAAAUGGUUGAGUACUGACUGACGAUCUGCUGCGUUGGAGCUAUAAUAAUUAAUAUUUAGUAUUAAAAGAAUAAAUGUUCAAUAAGCUUUUCUUACAACAAAACUUCUCUACUUUAUGUAGCCAUUUUUCUCUUAGGAGGGGCUCAGAGGGAAACUGAUGGAAGGACUUUGAGUAUUUGGCAGGGCACUGGGGCACAAUGCAUUUUUUGUGGAACCGCAUUUUCGUCCCAGUAAAAUUAACGUAACAACUUAAACUAUGUAAUAAUAACGAACCACUAACUGAAGUUAAACGACCAAAUAGGAACAAAACAACAAAAAACAAACACUAAUUUAACUAUGAAAUAAUAACGAAACACUAAACGAGUUGAAACGACAAAAUGCGAACGAAACACCACAAAACAAAUAAAAAAGGAACGAAAACUGCAAAUCAAAAAGAAAAACAACGAACAAUAACAAAUGGACUUCACAAAUAACUACUUUCAGCGCGCUUAAAGAUUCUCAAGAGAAUUUUAAUUUGAAUGUCAGAUUUGACACCAAAAAACACGCCCUCACUAAAAUCGGAGGAUACAGUGGAACUACAGUUAUGAACAGGCCGUAUUAACUAAUGCAGCAG